CAGCCGCCGCGGUAAUACGUAGGGUGCGAGCGUUAAUCGGAAUUACUGGGCGUAAAGCGUGCGCAGGCGGUUGUGCAAGACAGAUGUGAAAUCCCCGAGCUUAACUUGGGAACUGCAUUUGUGACUGCACGGCUAGAGUGUGUCAGAGGGGGGUAGAGUUCCACGUGUAGCAGUGAAAUGCGUAGAUAUGUGGAGGAAUACCGAUGGCGAAGGCAGCCCCCUGGGAUAACACUGACGCUCAUGCACGAAAGCGUGGGGAGCAAACAGGAUUAGAUACCCGCGUAGUCCCUGUCUCUUAUAC
rnacentral:rRNA from 1 species